rnacentral:rRNA from 1 species
GACGAACGCUGGCGGCGUGCUUAACACAUGCAAGUCGAACGAUGAAGCCGGAGCUUGCUCUGGUGAAUUAGUGGCGAACGGGUGAGUAACACGUGAGUAACCUGCCCUUGACUCUGGGAUAACUGCGGGAAACUGUAGCUAAUACCGGAUACGACCCUCGGAGGCAUCUCCUGGGGGUGGAAAGAAUUUCGGUCAAGGAUGGACUCGCGGCCUAUCAGCUAGUUGGUGAGGUAAAGGCUCACCAAGGCGACGACGGGUAGCCGGCCUGGGAGGGUGACGGGCCCCACUGGGACUGAGACACGGCCCAGACUCCUACGGGAGGCAGCAGUGGGGAAUUUUGGACAAUGGGGGCAACCCUGAUCCAGCCAUGCCGCGUGAGUGAAGAAGGCCUUCGGGUUGUAAAGCUCUUUCGGCCGGGAAGAAAUCGCACAGGCUAAUACUCUGUGUGGAUGACGGUACCGGCAUAAGAAGCACCGGCUAACUACGUGCCA